CGUAGGUCGUCGAAUUUAUUUAGAUAGUAGUAUGUAUUUUUAGAUUUCGAAAUAAAAAGAGAGCAAGUACAUAUUUUUGCAUUCUCUCUCUCUCUCUUUCUCCCUCAGUAUUAUUUGCAUAUGAUGUUUUUCAAUAAAAACAAACGGCGGGCGUUUACUGCAGUAUGUAUAGAGAAGUGAUAUUUAUACCCCAUUAACAACGACAACCAUUGCCGGUCUUCCUCCACAUCACACAACCGCUAAAAACCAACAACAAGCCAGGCAGCCAAAUGAAGGUGGAAGGCUAUUUGUAUUGUGAAUCUCAUUCUCAUUCGCUUGUUGAUCAUCAACGUCAUCGUUAAACAUUCAUCCCAAGAAACCAGCCAAACAGCCAGUCAGCCUGUUAACAUAUGAAUGUGUGUGCAUAUGUAUGUACCCUUGUCGUUCGUUCGAUAUUUCUUUCUUGUUUUGACGUCGUUGUUCCUGGAAAUUGGAAAAGGUAGCCAACCCAACGUAACUCUUCAAAUGCCUCAAUGAGUGACUGACUGCAUAUGUAUUUGGCUGCCAGGCUACCUCUGACUCGAGACAGAGCAAACAACAAAAACAACACAUUGAUUACCCCCACUAAACAACGAGACGAACUCAGCAGCAAAAGUAGCAGAAAAAUAACAACAACAACAACAGCAACAAGAACAUUAGCCAUGUGAGCUAAAUCGAGUCACAAAUUGUACUAUGAUACGUACGUUUACUUGGGAUAAACAAACAAACAAUCCAAACGAACGACCAACCAACCGCCAGCCGCUUUUGUCACCAGCCAAGCAGUGGUAGUAGCAGCAACGAACGACCACCAUUUACGACUUUCAUCUACGAUUGUUGAGUAGAUUCUAUAAAUUCUACACUUUCUACAUCACCCCUUCACUCUCCGUUUAUUAACUUUACAAACAAACAAAAGUCAUUACAAACUUUUUCGCAGAUGCCAGCCAAGACGUUAACGAAAUCAGCAAUGACAAACAAAUUAUAAAUUUUCUAUG